GUGUUGUGACUGUUCGCUGAAGGUUAUCCUCCCAUUUCCUGAAGAAACUAAAUCGUGAGGGUCAAGUGUGUGUUGUGACUGUUCGCUGAAGGUUAUCCUCCCAUUUCCUGAAGAAACUAAAUCGUGAGGGUCAAGUGUG